GAGUACAGAGACUCCUCUACUUACGAACCAGUUAUAUUCCAGAGAUCUGUUCCUAAGUCGAAUGUUCGUAAGUAGAGGAGUCAUUUCACA
rnacentral:miRNA from 1 species